UAUAUGUUGGGUCGGGGCGGUAGAAGCUGACAUGAUGAGGGGAGUAGGGAUAAUGAGAUAUUGUUGACUAAAAUGGCCUGGGCCAGAAGAGGCCCAUUCUUAAGGCAUAGCCAGCAGUUCUGGGCCAGAGAGGGGUUGGAGGAGUUUAUGAGAGCGAAGACAGUGUUUAGAAUACUUUCGGUUUCGGGGUCAAGCUAUAGCACUCCCCGGUUCUCAGGUAAGAUUAGGGGGUGAUAGACAGGAGGUUCUUGGCUCUUGAUCAUAAUUUCAAUCCUGCGCGAUACAAUUGCAUUGCGGGUUUGAUCUUGGGGCCCGCCCCCAUCAGAUACUCCUAUGGGCGCCACGGAGUUGAAGCAGACAUCCUGCCCUGGGGUGCCAUAACAAGGGGAUGGCAUCGAGUUGCUGCCGGCCCCCGUAUCGCUGGGUCUUUGAGUGGAAUGUUCUUAUCACGUGGUUAUGGGUUCCGAGCUGUCUGCUGGGGCUUUAAUAUGAGGCUGAGGACUUUUAUCAUACUGCUGGCAGCAGGAGGUAUCUGGAAGAGAGGAAGAGGAGGACCACAAUGGAGUGUGAUUCAGCUUCUUGAUGCUGAAUCCUGUAAAAGAGAAGGAGACCCACCCCGAGCCAUGGGAGCACUGCCAACCUGGGUCUGCCUUGGGAGCUAUGAAAGCCUUUCAGGAGGACAUGAUGUCUGAACUAAGUCCCCACAGGCUAUGCGGAUUCAUUAGAAGAAUAAUGUCAAUCACAGCUUUAACACCUUAACUAUGGAAGGGACUAAUGAGAAAGCACUUUAGAAGAGGCCAUGGCAGUUAUAUGGACAUUACCUUCAGCACUGAAGAAACCAGAUGUUUUCCAGGCAUUUCUAUCCUUAGAUUUGACCAACUUUGGGCUUAAUCAUGAGAGGGCAACCUGCACACCUGAAGAAUAAGAAUUGCCUCCUCUUCCUUGGCUGCACACCACCAUGAUCACCAAAUUGAUAUCAUAAUUCUAAAAGGUAUCUCUUCUCUAUUACAAAAGAAAAAAAACCAUUUUAAUUGAACCAUGUAAAAAUAUCGUAGGUCCCAUGUGGCCUGUUGGCACAGAUACUUGUCUCUGCCCCUGAACUUCCUUUUGGCACACUCAAAAGAUUAAACAGCAGAGUGAGCUGCAAAAACAACUAACUCUUAAUGACCUAUUUCUGUAGAGAUACAUUGUCUCCAUUUGAUAGCUAGGUUGCCGAAUGCCACCAGUGUGGGAGAGUUCUUAGGAAGACGCAUUUUCUCCAUAAACUUGUUUGCUAUAAAUAUUUUGAUAUAUUUUCUGUAACCUUUUGUUACACAUUGGUUCUUUUUAAAAAAUAAUUUCUUAUUGAGAUAUAAUUUAACCUAACAUAAAACUAGCCCCCUUAAAGUGUCCAGUUCAGUGGUUUUGGUUGUAUUCUCAAAGUGUCCAGCUAUAACCAGUAAUUCCAGAAAUUUUCUUCACCCCAAAUGAACAUCUAUACCCUCCAGAUUUCAUCUACCAAUCCUCUCACCAUUCUCUAAUCCAGCCCUCAGAAACCUUGAAUCUACUUUAGCUCUAAAGCUUUGUGUAGUCUGAACAUUUCAUAUAAA